GAGUUGAUCCUGGCUACAGGACACGCUGGCGGCGUGCUUAACACAUGCAAGUCGAACGAUGAACCGGUUUCGGCCGGGGAUUAGUGGCGAACGGGUGAGUAACACGUGGGCAAUCUGCCCUGUACUCUGGGAUAAGCCCGGGAAACUGGGUCUAAUACCGGAUACGACACUCCGAGGCAUCUCGGGGUGUGGAAAGUUCCGGCGGUGCAGGAUGAGCCCGCGGCCUAUCAGCUUGUUGGUGGGGUAAUGGCCUACCAAGGCGACGACGGGUAGCCGGCCUGAGAGGGUGACCGGCCACACUGGGACUGAGACACGGCCCAGACUCCUACGGGAGGCAGCAGUGGGGAAUAUUGCACAAUGGGCGAAAGCCUGAUGCAGCGACGCCGCGUGAGGGAUGACGGCCUUCGGGUUGUAAACCCCUUUCAGCAGGGAAGAAGCGAAAGUGACGGUACCUGCAGAAGAAGCACCGGCUAACUACGUG
rnacentral:rRNA from 1 species